rnacentral:tRNA from 1 species
GGCGCUGUAGUGUAGCGGUUAUCACUCGAGAUUCUGAUGUCCCGAAUUCUCGUAACCCAGGUUCGAUUCCUGGCAGUGCCU